AACGAACGCUGGCGGCGUGCCUAACACAUGCAAGUCGAACGAGAAAGGGGCUUUGGCUCCGAGUAAAGUGGCGCACGGGGGAGUAACACGUGGGUAACCUGCCUCUAAGAUUGGGAUAACUCGUCGAAAGAUGAGCUAAUACCGAAUAAGACCACAGUUCCCGCGGGAACAGGGGUCAAAGGUAGCCUCUGCUUGCAAGCUAUCACUUAGAGAUGGGCCUGCGCACCAUUAGCUUGUUGGUUGGGUAACGGCCUACCCAGGCAAAGAGGGUUAGCUGGUCUUGAAGGAUGGUCAGCCCCACUGGGACUGGGACAACGUCCCGACUCCCACGGGAGGCAGGCGUGGGGGAUUUUUCGCCAAUGGCGAAAGCUUGACGCAGCAACGCCGCGUGGGUGAUGAAGGCCUUCGGGUCGUAAAGCUCUGUCGGGCGGAACGAAUGCUCCUGGGGUUAACAGCCUCGGGAGGUGACGGUACCUUCAAAGUAAGCACCGGCUAACUCUGUG
rnacentral:rRNA from 1 species